rnacentral:rRNA from 1 species
AUUGGACGCUGGCGGCAUGCCUUACACAUGCAAGUCGAACGGUAACGGGCCUUCGGGUGCCGACGAGUGGCGAACGGGUGAGUAAUGUAUCGGAACGUACCUUUCAGUGGGGGAUAACGUAGCGAAAGUUACGCUAAUACCGCAUAUUCUGUGAGCAGGAAAGCAGGGGAUCGCAAGACCUUGCGCUGAUUGAGCGGCCGAUAUCAGAUUAGCUAGUUGGUGAGGUAAAGGCUCACCAAGGCGACGAUCUGUAGCGGGUCCGAGAGGAUGAUCCGCAAAACUGGAACUGAGACACGGUCCAGACUCCUACGGGAGGCAGCAGUGGGGAAUUUUGGACAAUGGGGGGAACCCUGAUCCAGCCAUGCCGCGUGAGUGAAGAAGGCCUUCGGGUUGUAAAGCUCUUUCGGCCGGGAAGAAAUCGUAUCAGCUAAUACCUGGUGCGGAUGACGGUACCGGCAUAAGAAGCACCGGCUAACUACGUGCCAGCCGCCGCCGUAACAC